rnacentral:rRNA from 1 species
CCUCGGGCGUGCGGUGGGUACGGGCAGGCUAGAGUGUGGUAGGGGAGACUGGAACUCCUGGUGUAGCGGUGAAAUGCGCAGAUAUCAGGAAGAACACCGAUGGCGAAGGCAGGUCUCUGGGCCAUUACUGACACUGAGAAGCGAAAGCAUGGGUAGCGAACAGGAUUAGAUACCCUGGUAGUCCAUGCCGUAAACGUUGGGCACUAGGUGUGGGGGACAUUCCACGUUUUCCGCGCCGUAGCUAACGCAUUAAGUGCCCCGCCUGGGGAGUACGGCCGCAAGGCUAAAACUCAAAGGAAUUGACGGGGGCCCGCACAAGCGGCGGAGCAUGCUGAUUAAUUCGAUGCAACGCGAAGAACCUUACCAAGGCUUGACAUGCACUGGACGGCUGCAGAGAUGUGGCUUUCUUUGGACUGGUGCACAGGUGGUGCAUGGUUGUCGUCAGCUCGUGUCGUGAGAUGUUGGGUUAAGUCCCGCAACGAGCGCAACCCUUGUUCUAUGUUGCCAGCACGUGAUGGUGGGGACUCAUAGGAGACUGCCGGGGUCAACUCGGAGGAAGGUGGGGACGACGUCAAAUCAUCAUGCCCCUUAUGUCUUGGGCUUCAAGCAUGCUACAAUGGUCGGUACAAUGGGUUGCGAAACUGUGANGUGGAGCGAAUCCCAAAAAGCCGGCCUCAGUUCGGAUUGGGGUCUGCAACUCGACCCCAUGAAGUCGGAGUCGCUAGUAAUCGCAGAUCA